rnacentral:rRNA from 1 species
UUGGAGGGCAAGUCUGGUGCCAGCAGCCGCGGUAAUUCCAGCUCCAAUAGCGUAUAUUAAAGUUGUUGCAGUUAAAAAGCUCGUAGUUGAAUUUCGAGAUCAGUACGCUGGUCGUGCCUUUGGUAUGCACUGGUGUCACUGGUUUCUCCCUUCUGAAGAACUGUCAUGCCAUUCAGUUGGUGUGGCGGGGAAUCAGGACUGUUACUUUGAAAAAAUUAGAGUGUUUAAAGCAGGCUCGCGCUUGAAUACAUUAGCAUGGAAUAGUGAAAUAGGACGUUUGACCCUAUUUUGUUGGUUUCUAGGAUCGACGUAAUGAUUAAUAGGGAUAGUUGGGAGCAUUAGUAUUCAAUUGUCAGAGGUGAAAUUCUUGGAUUUAUUGAAGACUAACUACUGCGAAAGCAUUUGCCAAGGAUGUUUUCAUUAAUCAAGAACGAAAGUUAGGGGAUCGAAGACGAUCAGAUACCGUCGUAGUCUUAACCAUAAACUAUGCCGACUAGGGAUCGGAUGAUGUUAAUUUUUUAAUGACUCAUUCGGCGCCUUACGGGAAACCAAAGUGUUUGGGUUC